UACGUAGGGUGCGAGCGUUAAUCGGAAUUACUGGGCGUAAAGCGUGUGCAGGCGGUCUGUUAAGACAGGUGUGAAAUCCCCGGGCUCAACCUGGGAACUGCAUUUGUGACUGCACAGCUUGAGUGCGGCAGAGGGGGAUGGAAUUCCGCGUGUAGCAGUGAAAUGCGUAGAUAUGCGGAGGAACACCGAUGGCGAAGGCAAUCCCCUGGGCCUGCACUGACGCUCAUGCACGAAAGCGUGGGGAGCAAACAGG
rnacentral:rRNA from 1 species